UAGAGUGUGAUAGAGGGUGGUAGAAUUUCAGGUGUAGCGGUGAAAUGCGUAGAGAUCUGAAGGAAUACCGAUGGCGAAGGCAGCCACCUGGGUCAACACUGACGCUCAUGUACGAAAGCGUGGGGAGCAAACAGGAUUAGAUACCCUGGUAGUCCACGCCGUAAACGAUGUCUACUAGAAGCUCGGGUCCUAGGACUUGUUUUUCAAAGCUAACGCAUUAAGUAGACCGCCUGGGGAGUACG
rnacentral:rRNA from 1 species